GGGGCCGUAGCUCAACUGGGAGAGCGUUUGACUGGCAGUCAAAAGGUCGGCGGUUCGAUCCCGCUCGGCUCCA
rnacentral:tRNA from 3 species